AGAAUGAACGCUGGCGGCAUGCCUAACACAUGCAAGUCGAACGAAGGCUUCGGCCUUAGUGGCGCACGGGUGCGUAACGCGUGGGAAUCUGCCCUUGGGUUCGGAAUAACAGCGAGAAAUUGCUGCUAAUACCGGAUAAUGACGUAAGUCCAAAGAUUUAUCGCCCAAGGAUGAGCCCGCGUAGGAUUAGCUAGUUGGUGUGGUAAAAGCGCACCAAGGCGACGAUCCUUAGCUGGUCUGAGAGGAUGAUCAGCCACACUGGGACUGAGACACGGCCCAGACUCCUACGGGAGGCAGCAGUGGGGAAUAUUGGACAAUGGGCGAAAGCCUGAUCCAGCAAUGCCGCGUGAGUGAUGAAGGCCUUAGGGUUGUAAAGCUCUUUACCCGGGAUGAUAAUGACAGUACCGGGAGAAUAAGCUCCGGCUAACUCCGCGCCAGCAGCCGC
rnacentral:rRNA from 1 species